rnacentral:misc_RNA from 1 species
GUAUUGCUGACACGCUGUCCUCUGGCGACCUGUCGCUGGAGAGGUUGGGUCUCUUGGAUGCGUCGCGGGUCUUCGGCCUCCCGGUGACCCGGCUAGCCGGCCCUGCUCGUGCUUGAGCCGCCUGCUGGGGCCCGUGUGCCCGGUCUCUCAUGCAUCCGAGCGUCCCAGCUCCCGGUGCCGCCUUGGGUCCGGGUCUCUGACCCACCUGGGGGCGGCGGGGAAGGUGGCGCGGGCUUACCCUGCCACCGUGCGCUCCCCGCUGCGGGCACCUGGGGCGGCCGAGACAACCCCACUCCCGCUGGCUCCGUGCCGUGCGUGUCAGGCAUUCCUCGUCUCUGCCGGGUUGUCUGCCGCCCCUGUCCUGGAGCUGGGGAUGGCCAGGCUGAUCUGCUCGCUGGCCUCUGGGGAGGCUGUGGCUGGCUGGCCGACCCUGCUCCGGGGAUGCUUUCCCUGAUCGAUGUGGUGAUGUCACGCUCUCCCGGGCCGGGACCGAGCCGCGACGGGCGAGGGGCGGGCAUUCGUGGUGAAUGAGACCCGUUCUUCUCGUCCCGCCCGCGGGGUUUCCCCCGUCUCCCAUCCCCGCCUGCGGGCGGUGCGUUGGGAGGCACUGGGGUGUGGAACCCGGCCCGACCUCGCUGUCCCGACCCCGCCGUCUGCCUCGUGGCGUCCGGCGUGGGUCAGCGGGGGUCCUCUGACGCAGCAGGCACUCCUCGCUUUCGCCUCUUGUGGUCGUCGCCUCGUGGGCCGCCCCCCUCCGCGGCGGUGGGGGUGCUGUCCCGCUGGCCCGCCGUGCUGCCCUCUCGGGUAUUGCACGAGCGCUGGCUCCGCCUGGGCCUUUGCGGUGCUCCUGGAGCGCCCCGGGCUGUCUCUCAGGUGCCCGAGGCCGAGCGGUGGUGUGUCGCUCCCGCCCCCAGCGCCCCCUCCUCCGGUCGCUGCCAUGGUGUCCGCGCGUGGGUCCUGAGGGAGCUCGUUGGCUGUGCGGGUCGAGGCGGUUGAGUGAGACGCGCCCCUCCCACGCGGGGAAGGGCGCCGCCUGGUCUGGCGAGCGCACGUCCCGUGCUCCCCUCUGGCGGGUGAGCGCGGGCCGUGUGAGCGGUUGCGGUGGGCUCGGGCCGGCCACGCGUGCGCCGGCCGGCCGCCGAGGGGCUGCCGUUCUGCCUCCGAUCGGUCGUGUGUGGGUUAACUGGAGGCGCCUUGCCUCACAGAAAGGAGGUGGGUGGACGGCGGGGGGCCUUGGGGGCUGUGCGCACGCGCGCCGGCCGGGCCCCUGCCCUGACCGCAAACGCUCAAGGUUGCCGCAGGUUUCUUCUCGCGCCGCAGGCCCCCUCCCUUCCCCAGGCGUCCCUGAGCGCCUCUGCGGGCCCGACGAGGGGCGACUGGCGGGUGGGGAGCGUGACCCACCCUCGGUGAGAAAGCCUUCUCUAGCGAUCCGAGAGGUGUGCCUUGGGGUACCGGAUCCCCCGGCUCGCCGCCUCUCUCUGUGUUGUGGUAGCGCUGCCGUAGCGACUCGCCUGCAGAGAACCCUCCUCCUCCGCUGCCCCCGCCUCGAUGGGAUGAGGUGGGGGGACAGUGAGGGUUCCGCCGGACCCCGCGGUGGGGGCCGAGCGCGCGGCUCGUCGUCUACUGUGGCCCGCGCCUCCCCCUUCCGAGUUGGGGGAGGAUCCCGCUGGGCCGGGCCCGACGUCCUAGCGGAUGGGAAGGCUGCUGCAAGCGGCGGGUGCGCGUGGCACUCCGUCUGGCGCGCGACGCCGCUCUCCGCUGUGAGCCGGCUCUCCGCCCGCUCCCGUGCCGAGCCGCGACCGCUGCCGAUGACCGCGUUCGCGUGGCGCGGGGUGUGGGGCCGCCUGGUCCUUGGGAAGCGAGCCGUCCCCACGGGGCGGCGCGCCGGUCUCCCGGAGCGGGACCGGGUCCGGGACGGACGAGAGACGGGCGACAUGUGGCCCCUGGUGUUGGGCUUGUGGCUGAGGUUGCUUUGGGGCCGCCGGUGGCGGGACCCGGGGCUCGUGAGGGGGUUGCUCGGUGGGCUGCCCAAGGGCCGUUCGGCGUCCCAGGCGGGGCGCUGCGGGACCGCCCUCGUGUCUGUGGCGGUGGGAUCCCGUGGCCGUGUUUUCCUGGUGGCCCGGCCGCGCCUGAGGGUUGCUUGCCCGAGUUAGCCCCCUGCGGGUUCCCCGUGCCCUCGUCUCCGUGGCCCCCUGGCUCCUUGCCUGCCUUGUGCUCCUUUUCCCUGUCCGCCGCCUGCCGAUCCUCUCUUCCCCGAGCGGCUCACCGGCUUUUAUGCUGUUGGCCGCCCCGUCUGGGCCCGAACCCGGCUCCGCCUUCUGGGGGCGCCGCCGCCGCCGGCCACGCUGGUUGGCCCGGUGUCCGCGUACCCCCACGGCGCGCGCCUUCGGGGCCAGGUCGGUGGCGGCCCGGUGGGCGCCCGGAGGGUUUGGGUCGGCCUUGCGGUGCGUGUGGGGGGAAGCGGGCUCCGGGGGCUCUGGCCGCGUGCGACUGGGCGUGGCGGUGGGGGAGCCGCAGGGAUCGCUGAAGGCCUGGUCGGCCGCUCCAGGUGCCACGCGGGGCCGCCUUCGUGCUCGGAGGCUGCUGGCGGUGAGACCCCCGCGUGCGUCCUGGUGGCGGUCGACUGCGCCGGAGGCGUCCCCCGGCGCCCCCCCUCCCCGCUUGGCCGCCUGCCUCGCCCGGCGUCUCGUCUUGUCCCGGCCCGCUCUUCCGCAUCGGGUCGGCGCGCGGCCCCCCGCCCAACCGGGUGCGCCUCGCUUCCCGGGCCUGCUGCGGCCCUCCCCCGAGGCGUGUGGUCUCGGGCGUCGUCGGCGUCGUGGGGGGGGGAAAGGCCUGUCCUCUCCCCGCGUGGCGUUGCCCCGUUCGGCGCGUGCGUGCGCCCGAGUGCGGCCCGGUGGUCCCUCCCGGGCAGGUGUUCGUGCGAUGUGUGUGAAGGUCGACCUCCGCCUGGCCGGUCGCUCGCCCUUCCCCCUGGGCCGGGGGGUGGGGCCCGGCCCGGGGCCCUCGGCCCCGGUCCCGGUCCCCCGUCUCGGGCGGGGCGGGCGCGCCGGCCGGCUUCGGUCGCCUUCCCUUUGGCCGUCGAGUGGCGUGCGCCACCCCUGCGCCCGCGCCCGCCGGCGGGGCUCGGAGCCGGGCCUCGGCCGGGCCCCGGGCCUCGACCGGAGGCGUGCGCGGGCGCUGCGGCCGCACGGGCGCGACUGUCCCCCGGGCCGGGCACCGCGGUCCGCCUCUCGCUCGCUGCCCGAACGUCGGGGUCGCCCCGCGGGGUGGGGGAGCGCCGUCCCCGCCUCGCUGCCGCCCGCGUGCGCGCGUGCGCGUGGUCGCCGACUUCCUCGCGGCUGCCGGGCACGGAUCGGGCGGUCCGCCUCCUCGCACGCGGGGCGCGCGAGGGGUGGGGGUCGGCGAGCCCGUCGCGGGGGUUGUGUGCGUUGGGUGGGUGCGCGUGCGCGCGCGUGAGUGGAUGGGGUCCGGCUUGCUGCGCCCCGCCCUCCCGCCGCGCCACCCCUCGCCCCCGCCCCAUCCCCCCGCGCUCGCUCGCUCGCUCGGCUCUCCGCCUCUCGCCCGCCCGGCAGCCCCCCUCUCGCUUGCGGGACGCCGGGCCCAUCCUCGCGAGGUCCCCCGGCCUCGGUCGGGACCUCGCCGCGCUCUACC